GACGAACGCUGGCGGCGUGCUUAACACAUGCAAGUCGAGCGGUAAGGCCCUUUCGGGGGUACACGAGCGGCGAACGGGUGAGUAACACGUGGGUGACCUGCCCUCAGCUCUGGGAUAAGCCUGGGAAACCGGGUCUAAUACCGGAUAUGACUCCAUGACGCAUGUUGUGGGGUGGAAAGCCUUGUGCGGCUGAGGAUGGGCCCGCGGCCUAUCAGCUUGUUGGUGGGGUGAUGGCCUACCAAGGCGACGACGGGUAGCCGGCCUGAGAGGGCGACCGGCCACACUGGGACUGAGACACGGCCCAGACUCCUACGGGAGGCAGCAGUGGGGAAUAUUGGACAAUGGGCGCAAGCCUGAUCCAGCGAUGCCGC
rnacentral:rRNA from 1 species